AGCAAAGUCCAAGAUACACCGAUGCCACGAUCACCGAGGAUCAGCUUCACUAUGCCUCGAUUGUGGGACAUGGAAGUGGUACAAGUUUUCCAAUCAGAAGAGAAGAGUCUGUGAUCUAUACACUGUUGACUUUCAAACCAAGGCAGGGAGUGGUUGAUCCUCCAGAUUCAUAAACAGAACAGCC